rnacentral:lncRNA from 1 species
UUGACUGGGGAAGAGCGAGAGAAGUUGACCGAGGAAAUGCAGGAGAAGUGUACCCGCGAUGUGAUUGAGUCAAGUAUAAGGUUGGUUUAAAAAAAUUGUUUUAUAUGUUUUUGGUAUUUUUGUGUAUUUAAAUUUAUGUAUUGUGUUUUGGUUUUUUAAGAUGCAGCAAUUGAAAUUAAUGGGUGUACUCAUUCAUCCAAUUUCAGAUCAGUUAGACAUAGCUAAG